rnacentral:rRNA from 1 species
CCUACGGGAGGCAGCAGUGAGGAAUAUUGGUCAAUGGGCGCGAGCCUGAACCAGCCAAGUAGCGUGAAGGAUGACUGCCCUACGGGUUGUAAACUUCUUUUAUAAAGGAAUAAAGUGAGGCACGUGUGCCUUUUUGUAUGUACUUUAUGAAUAAGGAUCGGCUAACUCCGUGCCAGCAGCCGCGGUAAUACGGAGGAUCCGAGCGUUAUCCGGAUUUAUUGGGUUUAAAGGGGGCGUAGGCGGAUUGUUAAGUUAGUGGUGAAAUUUUCCGGGUUAACCCGGGAACUGCCGUUGAUACUGGUGAUCUUGAGAGUAGAUGAGGUAGGCGGAAUGUGUGGUGUAGCGGUGAAAUGCUUAGAGAUCAUGCAGAACUCCGAUUGCGAAGGCAGCUUACCAAUCUCCAUCUGACGUUGAGGCACGAAAGCGUGGGGAUCAAACAGGAUUAGAUACCCGUGUAGUC